rnacentral:rRNA from 1 species
UACGGAGGGUGCGAGCGUUGUCCGGAAUCACUGGGCGUAAAGCGCGUGUAGGUUGUUAGGUAAGUCGAUUGUGAAAUCCCUGGGCUCAACCGAGGAAGUGCAGUCGAAACUACCUAGCUAGAAGACGGCAGAGGAAGGUGGAAUUCCUAGUGUAGAGGUGAAAUUCGUAGAUAUUAGGAGGAAUACCGGUGGCGAAGGCGGCCUUCUGGACCGAUCUUGACACUGAGACGCGAAAGCGUGGGGAGCGAACAGG